ACAGUUGGAAACGACUGCUAAUACCGCAUGACGCAUAGAGGUCGCAUGAUUUUUAUGCCAAAGAUUUAUCGCUUCAAGAUGGCCUCGCGUCUGAUUAGCUAGUUGGCGGGGUAACGGCCCACCAAGGCGACGAUCAGUAGCCGGACUGAGAGGUUGAACGGCCACAUUGGGACUGAGAUACGGCCCAGACUCCUACGGGAGGCAGCAGUGGGGAAUAUUGGGCAAUGGGCGCAAGCCUGACCCAGCAACGCCGCGUGAAGGAAGAAGGCUUUCGGGUUGUAAACUUCUUUUAAGAGGGAAGAGCAGAAGACGGUACCUCUAGAAUAAGCCACGG
rnacentral:rRNA from 1 species